rnacentral:rRNA from 1 species
GAUGAACGCUGGCGGCGUGCCUAAUACAUGCCAGUCGAGCGAACGGACGAGAAGCUUGCUUCUCUGAUGUUAGCGGCGGACGGGUGAGUAACACGUGGAUAACCUACCUAUAAGACUGGGAUAACUUCGGGAAACCGGAGCUAAUACCGGAUGAUAUUUUGAACCGCAUGGUUCAAAAGUGAAAGACGGUCUUGCUGUCACUUAUAGAUGGAUCCGCGCUGCAUUAGCUAGUUGGUAAGGUAACGGCUUACCAAGGCAACGAUGCAUAGCCGACCUGAGAGGGUGAUCGGCCACACUGGAACUGAGACACGGUCCAGACUCCUAGGGGAGGCAGCAGUAGGGAAUCUUCCGCAAUGGGGGAAAGCCUGACGGAGCAACGCCGCGGGAGUGAUGAAGGUCUUAGGAUCGUAAAACUCUGUUAUUAGGGAAGAACAUAUGUGUAAGUAACUGUGAAGAUCUUGACGGUACCUAAACAGAAAGCCACGGCUAACUACGUG